rnacentral:rRNA from 1 species
UGGGGAAUUUUGGACAAUGGGGGCAACCCUGAUCCAGCAAUGCCGCGUGUGUGAAGAAGGCCUUCGGGUUGUAAAGCACUUUUGUCCGGAAAGAAAUCGCCCUGGCUAAUAUCCGGGGUGGAUGACGGUACUGGAAGAAUAAGCACCGGCUAACUACGUGCCAGCAGCCGCGGUAAUACGUAGGGUGCGAGCGUUAAUCGGAAUUACUGGGCGUAAAGCGUGCGCAGGCGGUUGUGCAAGACAGAUGUGAAAUCCCCCGGGGCUUAAACCUGGGAAUGGCAUUUGUGACUGCACGGCUAGAGUGUGUCAGAGGGGGGUAGAAUUCCACGUGUAGCAGUGAAAUGCGUAGAUAUGUGGAGGAACACCGAUGGCGAAGGCAGCCCCCUGGGAUAACACUGACGCCCAUGCACGAAAGCGUGGGGAGCAAAACAGGAUUAGAUACCCUGGUAGUCCACGCCCUAAACGAUGUCAACUAGUUGUCGGGUCUUAAUUGACUUGGUAACGCAGCU